rnacentral:rRNA from 1 species
UACGUAGGGGGCAAGCGUUGUUCGGAAUUACUGGGCGUAAAGGGCGCGUAGGCGGCACGGCAAGUCGGGAGUGAAAGCCCGGGGCUCAACCCCGGAAUGUCUUUUGAAACUGCCGAGCUAGAGUGCGGAAGAGGCAACUGGAAUUCCCAGUGUAGCGGUGAAAUGCGUAGAUAUUGGGAGGAACACCUAUGGCGAAGGCAGCUCGCUGGGACGUUACUGACGCUGAGACGCGAAAGCGUGGGGAGCAAACGGG